rnacentral:lncRNA from 1 species
ACAAGGUAUCUUUACAUGGUCAGGACUAAACACCUUGAUCCAUGCCUCUGACCACCGGCCACUCUUGGCUUAGUGAUGGCCUUUUCUCUUGAGUGCACCUCCUGUACAUCCUCUUGGCAUCAGGUAAGUCACUUCUGAGCAGUUUCUCCAAUUCUCCAACAUCCUUUCUAUCUUCAGGGUAGGAAAUGGGCAGACACAUAGAUAGGAUUUGGGACUGGGCAAUCUCCACGGUUCAGGAAUAUCCAUCUUGGGAGGCUCUGUAAAACGUGGGCAAUGCCUUCUUCUUUGUCUUAGUUUGAUGAUGGACAGAGAUCACCUCUUGUGUACCUGAAACAUCACUCAAACUCCAGCAAGAAUCAGACCACACACACUAGGAUCAGCCCUUGAUAAUUCACCAAGUCUGAUCCCAAUGUUUUAAAAAUAAAUAUGCAAUGAACAGAAUCUAAACAACUCAUUCAGUUCAACUCCAUGCAUACUAACAUCACUAACUGCUCAGGUAUGAUAACUCAUCAAUAACAAGGCAAUUAGGCUCUUUUUAUGAAUUUUAAAGACAAUAAACAGAGACUAAACAACUCAUCUAAUCAUCUUGAACAAUAUAUAUAAUGCAAUACAAGAUCAGGAGGCUCUCCUAGACCUUUAUCAAUGCAACAAGACAAUGACAGUAGCUAACCAAUCGCCUAGCACAAUACAAACAGAAACAAUUAAUCUAGGACAGGAACUAAACAAUACCAUGCUAGACAACUCCUAGAAAUAAUUUAAGAAACAGAGCAACACACACAAUUUAAGUAUCAUGGGACAGAAACUGUGAUUUUUAAAGAGAUCUCUACUCUGGUUGUAUGUGUGUGUGUAUAAACUCCAAUGGAGAAAGAUAAGAGCUUGUUUUAGGUGAUUUGAGAACAGAGAUUGAUGAGAGUGUUUAAGUGUUUAUGAGACUAAAGAGAAUGAGAUUAAGAGACUGAGAGACUAAGAGAAUAAGUGUUUAGAGAUUAGAGUUUCAGAUUCAAGAACUAGUUUUUCAUUUCCAUGAAGGAGAGGGGAAAUCCCCCUAACUCUCUUAAGAGUUACAAUUUCGUCCAUACAUCUGUUUAUAUAGGCUGUUACAAUCUGAGACAUCAUAAACCUAUAUCUAAUGGCUGUAAAUCACUUAAGAGGAAUGGAUGGUGUAGAUGAGCUGGUCUUGUUGCAAUCUGAGUAGUUGAUGCUGAUUGGUUAAGAGGAGAUGGAGUCUGAUUGGUUUAAUUCAAAAUGGGGAAGGCUGAACUGUGAUUGGCUCUCCUUAGGCUCCUGCUAAUCUAUCCAGAGAUAAGUCCAGGUACAUGGUCGUGGCUCCCCUUGUCUUUACAGCCAAGGCCAGCCUGUCCCAAGACCAAACUAGCCAAUCACACUCCAAUGGCAUCUUCUUGAUUCUCCUUUGAUGCCAUCUGAUCAGAACCUUAUCCACAAGACUGGGACCACUUUUAUAACUCCUAAACCUUGCCCAGACAUUGCACAAGCCUUCCCGGGACGUCAGGUUCGCCCUAUUUUUGCACCAACUCCAAAACUUCUCAAAUGGCCGAGUUAUGCAAAUCUGGGUCGCCCUGGUCCGUACGGAUCCGUACUGUCCGUACAUGUCCGUACUGCCUCGCCCUAUCUUUGCACACUCGCUCAUUUGCUCCCAAAUACACUUCUAAGUCUCUCCUAGACUUGACCCUAACUUUGCACAUCCAUCAGGACACUUCUGGACACCUUGCCCUAUCUUUUGCACAAGCCCCAACUCAACUCAACACUUUUAGUUUCUCCAUUUCUUCUCUUCAAGUUAACACUCCCCCUCAAGCUUGACUUUAGUUGAUCCUAUGUCAAGCUUGGAACCUUGAAGAACUUCCUCAUUAAAAACCUCACCAAGGAAAACCCUUUGGGACAAAACCUUGAUGAGGGAAAAAGAGUAAAGUCUCCAAGGCCUAGGGAUUGGCCAGUGAGCUCUUGUGCCUUAGAACCAGUGUGGUUGGACACAAGAAGCUCUGGAUCACGGCCUAAACUGGUGCAGCAACUCAUCAAGACUUUGCGCACUCAACAACUCAGCUUCACCUCUUCAUGGAACCGGUUUGAAGUCUCCCCCUCUCAACUGACUUCACAGCCUUCUUAGAGAAGCUAGGACACGGCCAGAUCAUCUUCAAAACACCAGUGAGGCUGAUCAACACUUCACACACGGCUUGCCCUCUUCAUAGAACUGGUUUGGAUCUCCCCCUCUCAACAGACUUCUCAGCCAUCUUAGAGAAGCUAGGAACUGACCAGGAACAUCUUUAGUGAGGCUCAAGCAAUGGUACCUGAUACAUUAUCCCAAAGGUGCAUCAGUACCUAUCAAAAACAAGAAAAUGAAUAUCCUGCAUCACAUUUGAUGCACACAAUCUCACAAUUCAAAAUGAAUAUCCUGCAUCACAUUUGAUGCACACAAUCUCACAAUUCAAUCAUAAUCAUCUUAAGUAUCUUUUCAAGCACAAGCAAUGAAUAAGAUGAAUGAAAAAGAUUGAAAGGAGUUUUAAAAAGUCUAAGGGAACUUCCCUUGUGUUCUUGUGAGUUUCCAAACUCGACCAAUGCACCAUCUUCAUGGCAUCAUCAACUUCUUGGAAAGGCAGAAUGGAUUCAUCAGCUUCUCCUCAAUCACCUCUCAUUGAAGCCGCAUUGAUGGAGAGCCUUCCUCCUCACUCGCCAAGGCUGCUCUGAACAGCCUCUUGCCUAGACACGCCACUGACUUGGUCCGGUUGAUGAUCCUUGUAGAAGCUUUUGCAAAAGGCUUGUUACUGACCAUGGAUCAUAUGCAUUAAGACUCCCCCUCAAGCUUAGAACCGAGACUAGAAGGAGCUAAGCUUGUGAUGAUCCUAUGCAUCUCCAUGGUCUAAUAACUAUCAUCUUUCAUGAUAGCUUUCUUCUUGUGAGUUUACUCUCUUCCUUAACCAGGAACUAGGGUGUUUGAAUCACCAUAGAGAGUCUCACAAGACACACCUCUCAUUGCAUAAUGACCCAUGCUACACUUCCUGUAGACUAAGGACUAGAUAUGUCAAAUGGUAUUAUGCAAUGGUCAUCUCUCAUUGCAUACUCAAUCACACUACACUUCCUGUAGAUUAUGGACUAACAUGUCCUAGUGAUGAUAUGCAAUGGCACAAGACCUUUGUCUCUACAUUCUUGGCUGUUGGUGAGUUACAUGUAUCACUUUCCUUGUGUACCUAACACCACCACAACUCAAUGCAAGAUCAGAUCAUCCCAUUGGGAUCAAACCAAGAUAAUUUAUCCUGUUUGAUCACCAAUGCCACAGCAAUAUAUAAACCUUGAAACAAGCCAAUCAAUUAAGGCAAGAACAAGCAGUUUUCAAUCUCUAAAAUGACAAUGCAAGCUUUAUACAAUACAUUGACAAUUUAGGCUCAUUUUUAAAUGCAUCAAUACAUGAAUGCACAAUCUUAAAGCAUUAACUCCAUGAAUGCAACAGGUUCAAUCCAUGAGACAUAUUAAAGCUAUGCACACCAGUUUCAAUCAAGACCAAUGAUGCACGCACCUUAGACACUUUCUAAUUGAUGCUAGACUUUCAUUUUUGGAAUAAACAUAAACAUUAGCAACAGUACACACUCGGAUUGAACUUAGACAAUAUGAGACAUGCUUAUGUAUGCAAAACAGCUUUUCAAACAUGAUGCAAGCAGUAUAGACAUUCUACUCAAUUCUACAACACAUUCAUUCUGAUUCAAGCUAUGGCAACACACAAGACAAUGCAAUAAACAAAACAUGAGAUUCUGGGACUCUAGACACCACUCACAGCACAAUAAAUAAAGACACAAGCGCUUAUUAAUGGUUAGGAGGUUUGCUUACAAACAAGAGAUCCGAGCUGAUCUCUUGAACCUCCAUGGGCACGGUUCACUUGAACUUGGCAGGUUUGAGGCUUGGAUUCAGUAUCCAACACCUCUCCUUGGUGUGCCCAUCCCUCUUGCAAUGCUCACUCUCCAAGCAUCUCACACCAGAAGCUUAUUGAGUAGCUUUCUUCUUCCCUCUACUUCGGCUGGAUCACUCCAUGAUCAGCUUGCAAUGGUCUUGGUUUAAAUUGCAUCACCCUCCUGGUGAUGCUCUUCUUUGUAUGUCGACUGUCCUCUCUACACUCAUCUGAUGUGUAGGCUAUGGUGACUUAACCACCAUGGACAGAACCACAAGUCAUCUCUCCAUUGUCACAACAUCCUCUCUACCCUCUUUGGAGCAGGCUGUGGACUUCCCACAGAAUGUUGGCAACAGGCUUCAUUUUAUCCUUCUCUUGUAGUGAUAAGGAGGAAACAUGUCUUGAACUUUAGCUCUUCAGGUUGGUCAUUUGAAUCCCCACCACAAGCUUGAGAUGAGCCUCAAUGAACUUCAAGACCAGGAGCACAUCACCCUAACAGCUGCGCUUAAAUCACUGAUCCACCCUUUUGCCUUCAGCUUCAAGUACCCUCAGAUCACCGGCCUUCCUCAUGGCUUAGGUGGUGACCUUCUUCUUCUUGUGUGUCUUGAACCAGGAGCUCAACAACCUCGUGGCCUGCGCUUCUUAAACCGGCUUCUGCACACAAGAACCUUCCCAUUGCUCCACACAAUGGUUGGUCUUCCGCUUGUAUGUCUUGAACCAGGAGCUCAACAACCUCGUGGCCUGCGCUUCUUAAACCAGCUUCUACACACAAGUAUCUUCCCAUUGCUCCACACAAUGGUUCAAGUCUUCCUCUUGUCUUGGAUAGGUGGUGAGCAAAGAACACUUCUUGUGAACCUGAAACACCACUCAAACUCCAGCAAGGAUAAGACACAAGAGUAUUGGGAUCAAUCCUUGAUUAAUCAUCAAGUUUGAUUCCCAAUCUCACAAGCAUUGCAACAGAUUAAAACAAGUCAUUUUCAAGUUCUAUCUUUGCAAGCAAUCUCUCUAAGCACAAGCAUUUUCUUUUUCAGUUUAUGCAAGCUACUUAGGCAUUUUAAAGCUUCUUUACUCAGCAGUUAGACAUGAAUCUAAUGCUUCAAUGUAAGACAGCCACAAGACUAUAUGCAACAGCUUUCAAUUCAGUUUCAAUCCAUGUAUGCAAGCAGAUUCAAUCAAUCACAACAAGCAUCAUUAUGAACCGGAUAUAAGCAUAUUAACAUACCUAGUAAUCCUAGUAAUACUGUUAAAUUACUAGUCUUUUUAAAGCACUUACACAACUGCUAGUAAACUUAGUAUAACUAGUACAAUGAAAGGAUUACUAGGGAACCAAGCUCUUUAAGCAUCCUGGGACAGAUUCUAAAUUCAUUUUAUUUCAUUUAAUAAUCUUUUAAACAGUCCUCAGGUUUUCAAUCACAUCACAACAUCACAACCAGUCAAUAUACUCAAGCUUUAUACAAGAGAAAGAGGUUUCUUACAGCCAAGGAACUAGUGUUAGUUCCUUGAAACUCCAUAGAUCAUGGCAAGACAGUGAGCUGUUGGUGUCAACUCCAACUUCUCCUUCUCCCAUGGACCUUUCUCUUGCACUCUCCAUGUCAAUGACCACACCUUUCUUCAUGUUGAAUUCGCCACACCAGUACCAGCUGAAAGCUGUCACCUUUCUUCUUGGACAGUGAAUAAGAACCCUUUGCUUCCCAGGGUUCUUUCUUCUUCAUGGGCUUCAUGAGAGAGUGUAGAUCAGCCAGAGACAGCUUCUGGACACCAUGGAUGAGCAUACCUUCUUCUUGAAGAGUUGAACAGCCGGCUGGACCAUGGAGCUUCUUCUUGGCUUCAAGCGACAUGGAGGAGAGCUAUGAGCUUCAGUGGAAGCAAGAACCAAGUUCAGAUGAACCUGGCUCUGAUACCAUGUGAUUUUUAAAGAGAUCUCUACUCUGGUUGUAUGUGUGUGUGUAUAAACUCCAAUGGAGAAAGAUAAGAGCUUGUUUUAGGUGAUUUGAGAACAGAGAUUGAUGAGAGUGUUUAAGUGUUUAUGAGACUAAAGAGAAUGAGAUUAAGAGACUGAGAGACUAAGAGAAUAAGUGUUUAGAGAUUAGAGUUUCAGAUUCAAGAACUAGUUUUUCAUUUCCAUGAAGGAGAGGGGAAAUCCCCCUAACUCUCUUAAGAGUUACAAUUUCGUCCAUACAUCUGUUUAUAUAGGCUGUUACAAUCUGAGACAUCAUAAACCUAUAUCUAAUGGCUGUAAAUCACUUAAGAGGAAUGGAUGGUGUAGAUGAGCUGGUCUUGUUGCAAUCUGAGUAGUUGAUGCUGAUUGGUUAAGAGGAGAUGGAGUCUGAUUGGUUUAAUUCAAAAUGGGGAAGGCUGAACUGUGAUUGGCUCUCCUUAGGCUCCUGCUAAUCUAUCCAGAGAUAAGUCCAGGUACAUGGUCGUGGCUCCCCUUGUCUUUACAGCCAAGGCCAGCCUGUCCCAAGACCAAACUAGCCAAUCACACUCCAAUGGCAUCUUCUUGAUUCUCCUUUGAUGCCAUCUGAUCAGAACCUUAUCCACAAGACUGGGACCACUUUUAUAACUCCUAAACCUUGCCCAGACAUUGCACAAGCCUUCCCGGGGAAAUCCUGUCCAAUAGGAAGCUUGGGCGUUCCUGGUCUUUACACAGGCUGUCAUGAGCUGUCUUGUGGACUGAAUAAGCCAAUAGGAGUGAAGACCUUAUCCAUACACGGACAGCAUCUCACCUGAUCCUUUCCAAGGCCAUCCAAGAUGCCAUUUUGAUCCCUUCUUCAUGUAUAAGGUCCAAAUGAGUUUCUCCAUGCCUUGUGACCCAAGUCAUGACCAGACCAUGCUGUACGGACUUCCUGGCCGUACACAUUGUGCCCUAAGCUUGCACAUUCCUCAACUAUGCUUAAAUGGUCGAGAUGAUAAGUUUUGGGACGCCCUGGUCCGUACGGUCCGUACAGUCCGUACGGCCGUCCGUACGGAUCGCCCUAACUUUCUCAUUAACCAUUGCAGCCUAAACUCCUCCAAUGUUCUCCCAUGUCUGAUUAGAACCCUUCUUGGACAUUGCCCCAAUCUUGUAUCAGCUUCUUAUCACUUCUGAAGCUUCAUAGAACUCUUCUUAAGAUCUUCAAGAGCUUGCCCCUAUAUGUACAAGCUCCAUUCUUCUCUUCAGUUCAACACUCCCCCUCAAGCUUGACUUUAGGAGAUCCUAAGCCAAGCUUGGAACUCUGAAGAGUCUCCCUCAUUAAAAACCUUACAAGGAAAACCCAUUGGGACAAAACCUUGCAAGGGAAAAAGAGUAGAGCUCUCCAAAGCCUAGGGAUUGGCCAGUGAGCUCUUGUGCCUUAGAACCAGUGUGGUUGGACACAAGAAGCUCUGGAUCACGGCCUAACAGGUGCAGCAACUCUUCACAGCUUUGCGCACACUUCACACUUCACACUUCAGCUUCACCUCUUCAUGGAACCGGUUUGAAGUCUCCCCCUCUCAACUGACUUCACAGCCAUCUUAGAGAAGCUAGGACACGACCAGAUCAUCUUCAAAACACUAGUGAGGCUGAUCAACACUUCACACACGGCUUGCCCUCUUCAUAGAACUGGUUUGGAUCUCCCCCUCUCAACAGACUUCUCAGCCAUCUUAGAGAAGCUAGGAACUGACCAGGAACAUCUUUAGUGAGGCUCAAGCAAUGGUACCUGAUACAUUAUCCCAAAGGUGCAUCAGUACCUAUCAAAAAAACAAGAAAAUGAAUAUCCUGCAUCACACUUGAUGCACACAAUCUCACAAUUCAAUCAUAAUCAUCUUAAGUAUCUUUUCAAGCACAAGCAAUGAAUAAGAUGAAUGAAAAAGAUUGAAAGGAGUUUUAAAAAUCUAAGGGAACUUCCCUUGUGUUUUUGUGAGUUUCCAAACUCUCUCAAUGCACCAUCUUCCUGGCAUCAUCAACUUCUUGGAAAGGCAGAAUGGAUUCAUCAGCUUCUCCUCAAUCACCUCUCAUUGAAGCCGCAUUGAUGGAGAGCCUUCCUCCUUACUCGCCAAGGCUGCUCUGAACAGCCUCUUGCCUAGACACGCCACUGACUUGGUCCGGUUGAUGAUCCUUGUAGAAGCUUUUGCAAAAGACUUGUUACUGACCAUGGAUCAUAUGCAUUAAGACUCCCCCUCAAGCUUAGAACCGAAACUAGAAGGAGCUAAGCUUGUGAUGAUCCUAUGCAUCUCCAUGGUCUAAUAACUAUCAUCUUUUAUGAUAGCUUCCUUCUUGUGAGUUUACUCUCUUCCUUAACCAGGAACUAGGGUGUUUGAAUCACCAUAGAGAGUCUCACAAGACACACCUCUCAUUGCAUAAUGACCCAUGCUACACUUCCUGUAGACUAAGGACUAGAUAUGUCCAAUGGUAUUAUGCAAUGGCUAUCUCUCAUUGCAUACUCAAUCACACUACACUUCCUGUAGAUUAUGGACUAACAUGUCCUAGUGAUGAUAUGCAAUGGCACAAGACCUUUGUCUCUACAUUCUUGGUUGAUGGCGAGUUACAUGUAUCACUUCCCUUGUGUACCUAACUCCACCAAAACUCAAUGCAAGAUCAGAUCAUCCCAUUGGGAUCAAACCAAGAUCAUCCAUCCUGUUUGAUCACCAAUGCCACAAUAAUAUAUGAUACUUGAAACAAGCUAGACAAUCAAGACAAUCAAGCAAAGACAAUCAAUUCAGUUUUUUUUUUUUUUUUUUUUAAAUGCAACAAUAGAUGAAUGCAUUAGGUUACACUAACUAUAUGAAUGAAACAGAUUCAAUCCAAAAUGGAACACAAGUCUAAAUGAUACUACUGCAAUUAAGGCGACAAGAGUGACUCAAUUCAUGCUUAUGCUCACUAGUUUUAUCAAGGCCAAUGAUUCAAGUAGCUUAGACAUACUUCUAAAUGCUUAUAAGACAUCACUGAUGGAUUUAACUAUGGCAUAGCAACAAUCAGAACUGGAUUGAGUCGAGACAAGCAGAUUUCAAUUUCUAACAAUGACAAUGCAAGUUCUAUACAGUUCUCUAAAUGCAAAGCUUAUAUCAGGACAUUUGCAAUUUAGGCUCAUUUUUAAAUGCAUUACUACAUGAAUGCACAAUCUUAAAGCAUUAGCUAUAUGAAUGCAACGGGUUCAAUCCAUGAGUAAUAUUAAAGCUCUGCACAACAGUUUCAAUCAGAACCAAUGAUGCAAGCAACUUAGACAAUUUCUAAUUGAUGCAAGACUUUCAUUGAUGGAUUAAACAUAGGCAAUAGCAUCAGAUAACACUAGGAUUGAACUUAGACAGUAUGAGAUAUGCUUAUGUAUGCAAAAGAACUUAUCAAUCAUGAUGCAAGCAGCAGAGACAUUCUACUCAAUUCUACAACACAUUCAUGAUGAUUCAAGCUAUGACAACACUCAAGACAAUGCAAUAAACAAAACAUGAGAUUCUGGGACUCUAGACACCACUCACAGCACAAUAAAUAAAGACACAAGCUCUUAUUAAGGGUUAAGAGGUUUGCUUACAAACAAGAGAUCCGAGCUGAUCUCUUGAACCUCCAUGGGCACGGUUCACUUGAACUUGGCAGGUUUGAUGCUUGGAUUCAGUAUCCAACACCUUUCCUUGGUGUGCCCAUCCCUCUUGCAAUGCUCACUCUCCAAGCAUCUCACACCAGAAGCUUAUUGAGUAGCUUUCUUCUUCCCUCUACUUCGGCUGGAUCACUCCAUGAUCAGCUUGCAAUGGGCUUGCACUGGUCUUGGUUUAAAUUGCCUCUACCCUCCUGGUGAUGCUCUUCUUUGUAUGUCGAUUGUCCUCUCUACACUCAUCUGAUGUGUAGGCUAUGGUGACUAAACCACCAUGGACAGAACAACACGUCAUCUCUCCAUUGUCACAACAUCCUCUCUACCCUCUUUGGAGCAGGCUGUGGACUUCCCACAGAAUGUUGGCAACAGGCUUCAUUUUAUCAUUCUAUUGUAAUGAUAAAGAGGAAACAGGUCUUGAACUUUAGCUCUUCAGGUUGCUCAUUUGAAUACUAGCACCGCAAGCUUGAGACCGAGAAUAGGGGAGAUCCAAGCUUGAAAUGAGCCUCAAUGAACUUCAAGACCAGGAGCACAUCACCCUAACAGCUGCGCUUAAAUCACUGAUCCAUCCUUUUGCUUUAAGCUUCAAGUACCCUCAGAUCACCGGCCUUCCUCAUGGCAUAGGUGGUGACCUUCUUCUUCUUGUGUGCCUUGAACCAGGAGCUCAACAACCUCGUGGCCUGCGCUUCUUAAACCGGCUUCUACACACAAGAACCUUCCCAUUGCUCCACACAAUGGUUGGUCUUCCGCUUGUAUGUCUUGAACCAGGAGCUCAACAACCUUGUGGCCUGCGCUUCUUAAACCAGCUUCUACACACAAGUAUCUUCCCAUUGCUCCACACAAUGGUUCAAGUCUUCCUCUUGUCUUGGAUAGGUGGUGAGCAGAGAACACUUCUUGUGAACCUGAAACACCACUCAAACUCCAGCAAGGAUAAGACACAAGAGUAUUGGGAUCAAUCCUUGAUUAAUCAUCAGGUUUGAUUCCCAAUCUCACAAGCAAUGCAACAGAUAGGCACAAGGCAUUAUCAAGUUCUAUUCUUUGCAAGCUAGCUCUCUAAGAACAAGCAAGAUCCUAACAGAUUCAAGACAAGUUACUUAGGCACUUUUAAAAGCUUCUUUACUCAGCACUUUAGACAUGAAUCUAAUGCUUCAAUGUAAGACAGCCACAAGACUAUAUGCAACAGCUUUAAAUUCAGUUUCAAUCCAUGUAUGCAAGCAGAUUCAGUUAAUCACUCUAAGCAUCACUAUGAAACGAAGCUAAGCAUAUUAAUCACAUUCAGUCACCAAACAAAGCUCUUAAAGUAUCCUGGGACAGAUUCUAAACAUUUUAAUUUAUCAAUCUUUAACAGUCCUCAGGUUUUCAAUCACAUCACACAAUACAACCAGUCAACAACACAAGCUCAUUAUCAAGAGGGUUUUAAAAUCGCUUACACAAGGAACCAGGUUGGUUCCUUAAAACUCCAAGGGGACUGGCCAUGGCUUUUGUUGAAUCUGAGAGUCUGGAUAGUCACCCACCUCCUACUCCUUCAGUUCAUGGCCACCUUCUUGUUUCUCCAACUCAAAGACUCCUCCUUUCUUCAAGUCUUCUAGGCGCCAUCAUCUUGACAGCUUUCAUGAUGAACCGGGUGAAGAAAGCUCUUGGAGGAGGCGCCUUGGAUGAGGUUCGUGAGUCCUCUCCAUACACUUCUGCUUCCAAUGAGUCUCUCCAUCAGUAUAGACAAGGGAAAGGAUAAGAGACACGCCCUUCAGUCUUCUUCUCAUGGAGAAACUGAACUCGGAUGGGAAUGUCUUCAAGGGUUGGAUUUGAGCUGAGGGUAGAGCUUGUGUUGUGCGGAAGCUACAGCUCAGGUUCUGAUGAACCUGGCUCUGAUACCAUAUGAUUUUUAAAGAGAUCUCUACUCUGGUAGUAUGUGUGUGUGUAUAAGCUUCAAUGAAGAAUGAUUAGAGCUUGUUCUAGGUGAUAUAUAGGAAAGGAUUAGUGAGAGUGUUUAUGAGUAUGUGAGACUUAAGAACAGAGAUUAAGAGACAUAAGAGACUAGAGAGAGACUGAGAGAAUAAGAGACUGAAGAUUAGAGAAGGAGAAGGGAAACCCCCUUACUCACUUAGAGCUUACAAAUCGUCUCUGCCUCUUAUUUAAAUAGGACAGACUGUUUUCUACUAGGGUUUACAGUCAGAUACAUCACACAUGUGAAGUCAAACAAGGAGGAGCCUUAUUUUGAAUUCUAUGGACCAUAAGCUUCACAUGCUUGGCCAAUAGGAAGCUUGGGCGUUCCUGGUCUUUACACAGGCUGUCAUGAGCUGUCUUGUGGACUGAAUAAGCCAAUAGGAGUGAAGACCUUAUCCAUACACGGACAGCAUCUCACCUGAUCCUUUCCAAGGCCAUCCAAGAUGCCAUUUUGAUCCCUUCUUCAUGUAUAAGGUCCAAAUGAGUUUCUCCAUGCCUUGUGACCCAAGUCAUGACCAGACCAUGCUGUACGGACUUCCUGGCCGUACACAUUGUGCCCUAAGCUUGCACAUUCCUCAACUAUGCUUAAAUGGUCGAGAUGAUAAGUUUUGGGACGCCCUGGUCCGUACGGUCCGUACAGUCCGUACGGCCGUCCGUACGGAUCGCCCUAACUUUCUCAUUAACCAUUGCAGCCUAAACUCCUCCAAUGUUCUCCCAUGUCUGAUUAGAACCCUUCUUGGACAUUGCCCCAAUCUUGUAUCAGCUUCUUAUCACUUCUGAAGCUUCAUAGAACUCUUCUUAAGAUCUUCAAGAGCUUGCCCCUAUAUGUACAAGCUCCAUUCUUCUCUUCAGUUCAACA